rnacentral:tRNA from 1 species
GUCGUUAGCUCAGUUGGUAGAGCAGUUGACUUUUAAUCAAUUGGUCGCAGGUUCGAAUCCUGCACGUGACG